CCUACGGGUGGCAGCAGUGGGGAAUAUUGGACAAUGGGGGAAACCCUGAUCCAGCGACGCCGCGUGAGUGAAGAAGUAUUUAGGUACGGAAAGCCCUAUCAGCAGGAAAGAAAAUGACGGUACCUGACUAAGAAGCCCCGGCUAACUACGUGCCAGCAGCCGCGGUAAUACGUAGGGGGCAAGCGGUAUCCGGAGUUACUGGGUGUAUAGGGAGCUUAGACGGCAGCGCAAGUCUGGAGUGAAAUGUCGGGGCCCAACCCCGGAACUGCUCUGGAAACGGUGAAGCUGGAGUGCAGGAGAGGUAAGCGGAAUUCCUGGUGUAGCGGUGAAAUGCGUAGAUAUCAGGAGGAACCCCGACGGCGAAGGCGGCUUACUGGACUGUAACUGACGUUGAGGCUCGAAAGCGUGGGGAGCAAACAGGAUUAGAUACCCCAGUAGUC
rnacentral:rRNA from 1 species